UUCGGAUUGAAGCCUUGGUGACUGAGCGGCGGACGGGUGAGUAACGCGUGGGUAACCUGCCUCAUACAGGGGGAUAACAGUUGGAAACGGCUGCUAAUACCGCAUAAGCGCACAGUACCGCAUGGUACGGUGUGAAAAACUCCGGUGGUAUGAGAUGGACCCGCGUCUGAUUAGGUAGUCGGUGGGGUAACGGCCUACCAAGCCGACGAUCAGUAGCCGACCUGAGAGGGUGACCGGCCACAUUGGGACUGAGACACGGCCCAAACUCCUACGGGAGGCAGCAGUGGGGAAUAUUGCACAAUGGGGGAAACCCUGAUGCAGCGACGCCGCGUGAGCGAUGAAGUAUUUCGGUAUGUAAAGCUCUAUCAGCAGGGAAGAAAAUGACGGUACCUGACUAAGAAGCCCCGGCUAACUACGUGCCAGCAGCCGCGGUAAUACGUAGGGGGCAAGCGUUAUCCGGAUUUACUGGGUGUAAAGGGAGCGUAGACGGCAUGGCAAGCCAGAUGUGAAAGCCCGGGGCUCAACCCCGGGACUGCAUUUGGAACUGUCAGGCUAGAGUGUCGGAGAGGAAAGCGGAAUUCCUAGUGUAGCGGUGAAAUGCGUAGAUAUUAGGAGGAACACCAGUGGCGAAGGCGGCUUUCUGGACGGUGA
rnacentral:rRNA from 1 species